GAAGGUGUAGCUCAGUGGUAGAGAACAUGGCUUAGUAUGCAAGAGACCCUGGGUUCAAUCCCCAGUACCUCCA
rnacentral:tRNA from 1 species